UACGUAGGUGGCAAGCGUUGUCCGGAAUUAUUGGGCGUAAAGCGCGCGCAGGCGGUCCUUUAAGUCUGAUGUGAAAGCCCACGGCUCAACCGUGGAGGGUCAUUGGAAACUGGGGGACUUGAGUGCAGAAGAGGAAAGCGGAAUUCCACGUGUAGCGGUGAAAUGCGUAGAGAUGUGGAGGAACACCAGUGGCGAAGGCGGCUUUCUGGUCUGUAACUGACGCUGAGGCGCGAAAGCGUGGGGAGCAAACAGGAUUAGAUAC
rnacentral:rRNA from 1 species